UACGUAGGGUGCGAGCGUUAAUCGGAAUUACUGGGCGUAAAGCGUGCGCAGGCGGCGCGUUAAGACAGGUGUGAAAUCCCCGGGCUUAACCUGGGAACUGCGUUUCUAACUGGCAGGCUUGAGUGUGGCAGAGGGGGGUGGAAUUCCACGUGUAGCAGUGAAAUGCGUAGAGAUGUGGAGGAACACCGAUGGCGAAGGCAGCCCCCUGGGCUAACACUGACGCUCAUGCACGAAAGCGUGGGGAGCAAACAGG
rnacentral:rRNA from 1 species